GACGAACGCUGGCGGCGUGCUUAACACAUGCAAGUCGAACGAAGAGCGAUGGAAGCUUGCUUCUAUCAAUCUUAGUGGCGAACGGGUGAGUAACGCGUAAUCAACCUGCCCUUCAGAGGGGGACAACAGUUGGAAACGACUGCUAAUACCGCAUACGAUCUAACCUCGGCAUCGAGGAAAGAUGAAAGGUGGCCUCUAUUUAUAAGCUAUCACUGAAGGAGGGGAUUGCGUCUGAUUAGCUAGUUGGAGGGGUAACGGCCCACCAAGGCGAUGAUCAGUAGCCGGUCUGAGAGGAUGAACGGCCACAUUGGGACUGAGACACGGCCCAGACUCCUACGGGAGGCAGCAGUGGGGAAUCUUCCGCAAUGGACGAAAGUCUGACGGAGCAACGCCGCGUGAGUGAUGACGGGCCUUUCGGGUUGUAAAAGCUCUGUUAAUCGG
rnacentral:rRNA from 1 species